GAAAGAGGUGAAGCCAGGCAAUGACCAGGGAGCAGAGGAAAUGGCCUCAACUGCUCUGAAUAAAAGCGCUGGGAAGAGAGUGGUCAAAGGAGGUGAUGGCUAAAGGAACUUGCUUUCUAAGCUUCACUGUGAAGAUAAUCCACUCCACUGUUGGCCAGUCACUCAGACUGGAAUGGAAAAGCCAGUCUGUGCUCCCUCCUGUCCAUGUUGCCCUGAGGACAUCUGGAUUUAACUCUCCUGUUCUCUUGCCCAGAAGUACAGAACAGAUGAGUCUGCAGCUGUAUGAAGGUGGCAGUGAGGGAACCCUAAUCAGUGGGUCUGGUUACGCAAAGAGUGGCAAGUUACCUAAGCUGGAAAAAAACCCCACCUGUCUCUUUUCUCCCUGA
rnacentral:lncRNA from 13 species